CCCACUUCUUGGUAGUGAGUUUGAAACCUACAUGGAGCAGUUGCCAGGUACUGACUGUAGGUCGGUGGUUUUUCUCUGGGUACUCCAGCUUUCCUCCCCCUUGAAAACCAGGCAUGUCCUUGAAUGUGCCUGGCUGUUAAUACGACAUUAAACAAACCAAACCAAACAAUCCAUGCAUUAGUGUAUACAUGGGAUACAGCUCAGAUCAGAUUUAAGUUUCUUUUUCUUUAUUACAUAGGACUUUGCUCAGAUGAGAUAAUUCUAUUAAUUAUAAUACCUAUAUUUUACUCAGGUGAGCUUUACGAGUAUUAUUAAAAUAUAUAAUAUGAUUUCAUUUUGUAUAUUAUAAUUAUGUAAUAUCAAGAAAGUUAGAUAGUUAUACAUUUAUAUAUAUUAAGCAAACUUAUUUUUGUCAUUAUAUUCCUAUUAAUGAUGUAUGAUCAUUGUAUUUCAGGUCUUUAAAGAUUUCCUUAUCUGAUUGUCUGGUCAUUCCCCGUCUUGUACACAGAAAUCACAGAGCUGUCAUUUACAGUGACUCUCAUUUUCUCCAUGUUGCUGGCAGCAGUUUGACCGUACCUCCGCCAGUAUCUCCAUGUUGCUGGCAGCUGUUCAACCCUAUCUCAAAUUUCUCAGCAGAUACAUGUAGCUGUCCGAGGAUAAAGCUGUGUCCCAGACUAAUCGGUUGGCAGAUAUCGAUGAUAUAUACUUUGCUUCUGACAUAACUAGCGAUGGAUGUGCUCCAACUAAUGGUAGAAAGCGGUGAACAAAAUGAGCUGGAUAAUGACCGGAUAUGGUGGGUCAAGGGGGGCAUGCAGUGUUCAGUGCCAUAUCGAGACAGGGGACUUAGACUACCUGGACCUGAUGGAGGAUUAGCCGUGCAAUAUCAGUGAUAGUUUAUUUGGAUGGACAGUUUAUUACAAAUACAGAUAUUCUGAUUGCGAUCGGGUGAAGUAUAGGGUACAACAUUAUAUGAACUCUGAUCUCUGUGUGUAGAUACUAUAUAAUUCUGCUCAGGCAGGGUAAAGUUUAUUUUUGUUAUUGGUUAUAUUUGUUGAUAUUUACUAUACACUUGUUAACUUUGAUUACUAUUUGAUAAAAGUUGAUUUUGUUUCACUGUUGAUACUUUACAAAUGUUAUUAUAUAUAUUUCAAGUUUAAAUCAAUGUUGUUCAAACGGGGACUUAAUUUUUCAAAGAAGGGAGUGGUGUAGCGGGGGAUGUUCCUGUUUGUUUGUUGUCAGGGUAAGCUGACUAGUGAAGCUUUUCUCUAUGUUGUGUAUUGUGUGUGUGUACCUGUCACUGUGACCGUUGUUGUACUCCAAUCACGUGCCCUGUCUUUGUUGAUGUUUUUGUCAUGUAGUUGUCGCUUGCUUUCUCGUGAGUGUCCGUCUUACUCGUAUACCUCUGUGAGUCCUGUGUUGUGAUUGGUUGUUUAGUUUCGUAUUGGGUGAUAAAUUCAGGGUUUUACUUGUAUACUGGGCAGUCUGGCGGAUUGAGUUCCUGCAUGCUGUCACUUUCUCUUCUCAGGUAUUUAUAGUUAGGUUAGGUUUUAGGUAAAUAACGUUAGGAGUGGGCCGUGAUGGGUUUAGUUUCGUAGCUAUUGACGGGUAUGGGGGGUCGGUAUAUGUAGGAUGUAGUAUUAUUGGUUGGCUAGGCCUAGGCUGAUUGUCUCUGUUCAUGUGUUAAUUAUUGUAAAUAUUUAUGUUAUUCAUAAAAAAUUGUUAACUGUUA